AGAGUUUGAUCCUGGCUCAGGACAAACGCUGGCGGCGUACCUAAGACAUGCAAGUCGAACGGAGCAUCGUGCUUCGGUACGAUGCUGAGUGGCGGACGGGUGAGUAACGCGUAGGAACCUGUCGACGAGUGGGGGAUAACGCUGGGAAACCGGCGCUAAUACCGCAUGGGAUCGGCGACGAUCAAAGCAGGAAUGCGCUC
rnacentral:rRNA from 1 species